UACAUGGGGUGCAAACGUUGCUCGGAAUCAUUGGGCGUAAAGCGCGCGUAGGCGGUUACUUAUGUCGGAUGUGAAAGCCCUCGGCUUAACUGAGGAAGUGCAUUCGAAACUGGGUAGCUAGAGUACUAAAGAGGGUCGCGGAAUUCCCGGUGUAGAGGUGAAAUUCGUAGAUAUCGGGAGGAACACCGGUGGCGAAGGCGGCGACCUGGGUAGAUACUGACGCUGAGGCGCGAAGGCGUGGGGAGCAAACAGG
rnacentral:rRNA from 1 species